AUUGAACGCUGGCGGCAGGCCUAACACAUGCAAGUCGAGCGAGCGGCGGACGGGUGAGUAAUGUCUGGGAAACUGCCUGUGGGAGGGGGAUAACUACUGGAAACGGUAGCUAAUCACGCAUACCAUCAGAUGUGCCCAGGUGGGAUUAGCUAGUAGGUGGGGUAACGGCUCACCUGGGCGACGAUCCCUAGCUGGUCUGAGAGGAUGAUCAGCCACACUGGAACUGAGACACGGUCCAGACUCCUACGGGAGGCAGCAGUGGGGAAUAUUGGACAAUGGGCGAAAGCCUGAUGCAGCCAUGCCGCGUGUGUGAAGAAGGCCUUCGGAUUGUAAAGCACUUUCAGCGGGGAGGCGUUACCCACAGAAGAAGCACCGGCUAACUCCGUGCCAGCAGCCGCGGUAAUAC
rnacentral:rRNA from 1 species